AGAGUUUGAUCCUGGCUCAGGACGAACGCUGGCGGCGUGCCUAAUACAUGCAAGUCGAGCGGACCCUUCGGGGUCAGCGGCGGACGGGUGAGUAACACGUGGGCAAUCUGCCUAUCAGACUGGAAUAACGCCUGGAAACGGGUGCUAAUGCCAGAUAGAGCAAUGAGGUGGCAUCACCUUGUUGGGAAAGUCGGUUUUGC
rnacentral:rRNA from 1 species